UUUAAUUGAAACCAAAUUUAGAGGUAUUUCACUGUUAAUGAAAUUAUUGGAUAACCCCAAUUAA
rnacentral:tRNA from 1 species